CAGUCGCCACGGGAAUACGUAGGUGGCAAGCGUUGUCCGGAAUUAUUGGGCGUAAAGGGCUCGCAGGCGGUUUCUUAAGUCUGAUGUGAUAGCCCCCGGCUCAACCGGGGAGGGUCAUUGGAAACUGGGAAACUUGAGUGCAGAAGAGGAGAGUGGAAUUCCACGUGUAGCGGUGAAAUGCGUAGAGAUGUGGAGGAACACCAGUGGCGAAGGCGACUCUCUGGUCUGUAACUGACGCUGAGGAGCGAAAGCGUGGGGAGCGAACAGGAUUAGAUACCCGCGUAGUCCCUGUCUCUUAUAA
rnacentral:rRNA from 1 species